rnacentral:rRNA from 1 species
GACGAACGCUGGCGGCGUGCUUAACACAUGCAAGUCGAACGGAAAGGCCCUGCUUUUGUGGGGUGCUCGAGUGGCGAACGGGUGAGUAACACGUGAGUAACCUGCCCUUGACUUUGGGAUAACUUCAGGAAACUGGGGCUAAUACCGGAUAGGAGCUCCUGCUGCAUGGUGGGGGUUGGAAAGUUUCGGCGGUUGGGGAUGGACUCGCGGAUUAUCAGCUUGUUGGUGGGGUAGUGGCUUACCAAGGCUUUGACGGGUAGCCGGCCUGGGAGGGUGACCGGGCACAAUGGGACUGAGAUACGGCCCAGACGGCUACGGGAGGCAGCAGCGGGGAAUAUUGCACAAUGGGCGGAAGCCUGAGGCAGCAACGCCGCGUGCGGGAUGACGGCCUUCGGGUUGUGAACCGCUUUCGCCUGUGACGAAGCGUGAGUGACGGUAAUGGGUAAAGAAGCACCGGCUAACUACGUG